CGGAGCUGGGAAACCUCCACGUUGGCUUUGUCAUUGCAGUAUUGUAACUCGUCAAUCGGGCAAUGGCAGGGCUGGUGCACCCUGGGUAGCAGUUAAUAAAGAACUCUCACGUGAGCAAUUAUUAACUGUUAGCGAAUUCCCGGACACCAGCAGGACAAGUCAGCGAUCUCAGGAGUAGGGAUGGUUUGCUCCCUAAACCCCCGACAAAAGUCGACUUCUCUAGGUAUCUGAGAGAUCGCUGGCUUGCUCGGCUCGCUUGUUUUCCCCUUGUUUUUUUUUCUUCGUUUAUCUUUCAUUUUUUGUUCUAAUGUUAGCUAUUCUUUUAUCUUUUCUGUCUAAUUGUUUCGUUCGGUCUUGUGUUUCCUUUUUCGUUUCUUGAUGUGAAUUAACAGCUAACAUCUCACAUGACCACCCACAGUGGCACCGCGCACAUCCGUAUAUUUAGGAGGAGGUAUAUAGGCUGAUAGCAGUGUGACGCGAGAUUUAUUACAAACACUUCACUGAAGAAACACAAACUAAUACAACCGGGAAUCGAGUUAUACGGCUGUGACACGUGCAUACGUGCACACGUGUGACAGAGAGUUGCUGUCGUUUAUACCACCAACGGAGCAUUCAUGCUAGCAGUAUACCGAUAGUGGUCAUCCACUCUGUGGACUGGAAGUAAAUCAAGGCUGCAGAGGAUGCUCACGCGCAUCGAACGAACGGGUGAGGUUACAACAAACAAAAGCAACAAAGGUACGGUUCUGUUCAAAUAUCAAAAAGGCCAAGAAAACAAAGUAUUUUUUGUUCGAGAAUUGAACCUACAACCCGUAAAGCGGUGGCUGCUAGAUCAAUCUGUCAAUAAAAGGGCCCCAGUACCUGAUAGCAGGCUCCAACUCGCCCAAACUGAAUAAUGCACAUAGGACUGUAGGCAUUUGGGCUGCGGAGCCGGGAAACCUCGACGUUGGCUUUGUCCCUGCUGGACUACUUUUCCUUGUGGUUACGUCCGCGUGGAACUCGUCAGUCACGUAAUAGCCCAGCUGGUACACCCUGGGUAACGGCUAAUAACUGCUCUUAUGAGAGUUCUUAUUAGCUAUUGGUCAUUAUUCCCGGAGGCGUGCAGGACGAAUCCGCAAUCUUUCGGUCCCUAAACAUUCGACUAAGUCAUAGACUGUUCUGGGCAUGCAAGGAAUCGCAGACUUGCCCAACUUGCUUCUUAUCCUCUUGUUUUCUUCAUCUUUUUUGUUUUAUUUUGUAUGUUUUCUUUUAUUGUUUCUGAGUUCUUUUAUAUUCACUAUGUUUUAUCUUUUCUAUUUUUUCAUUCGGAGUUGCAUUUCCAUAUCUGUUUCUUAAUGUGAAUGAGUAAGAGACAUUAUCCUGGAAGAAAGUAAAGAUUAAAAAAAGGUAACCCAGAGAGGUAACCAUUUAGAGAUGCGAAAGAAAAAUAUAAAGUUUAUCGUAAAAAAAUGGACAUCAUACCUCCCAAAUUGUAAUGGUGCUGGAUCAGUUGAUUAAUGAUUGUAUACUGGUGAUGUCACACGAAUCACAAUUAAGUAAUUCCAUACGAGGGUUGACGUUAAGCAGAAGCAAACUUACAUCUAAUUACUAGUAUAUGACAAACUUUUGUUGGCGCUGUACUAAUGAUAUGACUAUUUUGUUCAUUACGGCAGGUAACAUCUCACAUGGCUACUCACACUGGCACCACGCACAUCCGCAUAGAUGUGAGGCGUGUAUUGCCAGAUUUACUACAAGUACUUCAUCAAAGAAACAAACGAAUACAUCUGGGAAUCGAGCCAUACGGCUGUGUCACGUGCUAACAGAGCGCCUGUUGAUGCAGUCAACAGUUCCAGCUCGGCGAAACAAUCUUAUCACAGCAUGCGGUUUGUCAUCGAAAGCACAUCGGCCCAAUCAAGUAUCUACGUCGAAGGGUGCGAAGUCGAAAGAAUGAAUCAAUUUCUGAUUAUUUAGGUUUAUAGUAGGUAUAUAAGAUUUUAAAUUAUAUAAAUGGUUAUAACGAUAUUAUCAUAAUGAUAAUAAAAGAAUUGUUCGUCUCUAUGUAAUUAAAUUAUGUAAUACAAUAAAAAUAAAACAAAAAUUCUUCACGGUUUAGCACACCGCUUUAUGGUCGUGGGUUCGAUUCCUCGCACCGUACAAACAUUGGUAUUCAUGAGUAUGAUAGUUUGUAUCGGUCUGGGUGUUUUCUAUGUAUAAUAUGUAUUUAUUUACAAAAAAAAUGUAUCCAUGUAUUUAUAUCAGUUGUCUAGUACCCAUAACACAAGCUCUGCUUAGCUUGGGACUAGACGGCGCUGUAUGAAUUGUCCUGAGAUAUUAUUAUUAUUAUUAAAAAGUAUGUCUCUUUAAAGUGGGUUAGAUAAGCAAUAGCUAUGGGACAUAUUUAUAUUCUUUUAAAGGAUAAUUACAUAAAGUAUAAUUUAAUUUUAUUAAGGAUGUUUUUUUUUAAUACCAUAAAUUAUAUUAGGCACACGAAUUUCUUACACUCUGCAUAUACUAUACUACAACUAUAAAAAGAAUGCAGAUAAGUUGGUAACAUUCUAUAUAACAAUAUUAUAUAUAUGGAACUUCACAGAAUUUCUGUUCAUAAUUCAUGCUUAUUUACGAUUAUUAUCUAUAAUGUAGUACAAGUGUCUAUUAUUACACUAUAUAUAUAUAAUUGAUGUGAUUUUAUCAGUAAUUGUUGUAGAGAUUAGAUGAUUGAAUCGUAUAGGAAUAUAGAAGUAAUAUAGGUAACUGGAAAAUGUAACUAUCAUUAUUUUUUUUUAUUAUUUAUUUAUUUACAACCUUUAUACUGAAGAGUUAAUAAUAAUUUAUUUAUUUGUAAUCGAUUUACUGUACAUGUACAGUACAAGAUGUUAUGGAAAACAGUAAAAGUGCUAUAUUCGUUACCAUCAUUUGAUUUUUACAUAAUUGUUAUAUUUAGUAAAAUUAAAUAUAUUUAUAAUAUUUUUUUAAGAAAUGUCGGGUUAGGAAACAAAACUAACUGAAGUACAAGUGAAUGGAUAUUUAUUUAUUACUCUGUCACGCAAAAACUAUAGUACCAAUUUUAUUUCCAACUAGCUAUUCCCGCGACUUCGUCAGCGUGGAAUUUAACUUUAAUUUUCUAAAAUAAAAGUUAAAAUAAGGAGUAACUUAGGCUAAAUUACUCCUUAUUACAUCAGCUAACUGCCAAUAAAAGUCCCGUCAAAAUCGGUUCAGCCAUUUCAGAGAUUGGCCGGAACAAACAGACAGU